CCUGUGUAAUACGGUCAUUUCAGAAUGUGGUAUUUAGUGAAUUGUAGGUAAAUUGGAGCGUAACUGAUUUGAGGGAGAGAUUGAUAAAGGACAGGGUACAUCACACCUUCAAAAGGAUGCGCAAACAAAUGGCAAGUUUAAUGUCGUUUAUUCAUUGUGCCAAACAUACAAAUAAGAGAUUCAGAGUUAAAGUUUCCCUGACACCUUUCAGCUUUUUGUAAAGAUAAAGUUUCAUGACAAAUGUGUUUUUAAAGGUGUUGGACUUUUUUGGAAACACGAAUGCAAUUAAAAUAGAUUCUCAAGACAAGUUGUGACUACUUGUAUCAUGUAAUUGGAGAGUUUCUGCUGCCAUUUCCCAUCAGCCACAAUGGAUGAUGGGAAUAACCAUCACUUUGCGCGUUUGCCAUUCUGCCAUAGACUGGGUUUUCUGAGGACGGCUCCUGACAGAGUAAGUCACCAGGAGUUAAAGAAUGGCGGCCAGAUUAAGGUAAGUAGGACUUUGUGAUGCUUCUAAGUGACUGUGCCUCUUUAAGAAUGUUCAAUUUCUGGAUCAUUAAAUAGUUUAUUACCCGACAUGAACCGUUUGUAAUUACCAUAUCUACACAUACUAUAGAUUUAAUAAGACACUGCAAUAUAGCUUUAUCCUUCAAUAAUACAUUUAAAGGAGCACAAACAUGUAUCCCUGACCCUAUAGUGAAAAACCGCCAUUUAGGUGCCUUUACCACCCCCUUAUCCCCCUCAGAAUGGGUUAAAACUCACCUUAUUUCCAGCGCCGUGUGACCCGUCCCCUUAGUGACAUCAUCAGAAUUACUGAUUCACAUGGUGAAAGCAUUGGAUUGGCUAAAAUUGGCACGAGGACAAGGCCAAGUGCCGUUUUGGCCAAUCAGGACCUCCUCAUAGAGAUGCAUUGAAUCAAUGUAUCUCUGAGGAAAAUUCAGCGUCUCCAUGCAGAGUGUGGGGAUGCUGUGCAGCACUGCCCCAGGAAGCACCUCCAGUGUCCAUCUGAGGAGUGGCCACUUGGAGGUGUCCCUAGGGGCAAUGUAAACAAUGCCUUUUCUUUGAAAAGGCAGUGUUUACAUAAAAAUGCCUGAAUGGAGCUAUUACACUCACCAGAACAACUCCAUUAAGCCGUAUAUCUUACAUUAAGCUGUAGU